rnacentral:rRNA from 1 species
ACUUAAAACUCAAAGGACUUGACGGUGUCCCAAACCAACCUAGAGGAGCCUGUCCUAUAAUCGAUACCCCACGCUAUACCUUACCCCCCUUUGUAAGACCAGUCUGUAUACCGCCGUCUACCAGUUCGCCUUGUGACAGACCCCAUAACGAACAAACCAGCCUACCACUCAUACGACAGGUCAAGGUGCAGCCAAUAGGGGGGCAGAGAUGGGCUACAUUUUCUACCCACUAGAACAUUACCACCCGCCAAAUGAAAUAUAGGCCCAAAGGCGGAUCUAGCAGUAAGCCUGGCA